CGGCGGUGGUGGCUUCACUCCCGGCGGCGCGAUGGUGUCCCGGCUUCGCCCCCCCGGGCAAAGGGCAUCCUCGGGCGUUAGCUCAGAACACCAGCUGUUUCCAUGUGUGGUGCAUCAGGAGGAAGCAAGGUCCAGCUACAUUCUUCACCUGGAGUCCAGCAUUUGCUGCCAUCGCUUUCUUGGCUUCCUCCUGAAGCGCAGGAUUUCAUCUUGGAGGCCAUGAAGAUUGGGUUUCCAAUUUUCCAAUGGAAAUUGGAAGAGAAAGUGAGCUUGGCCGAGGUCUCUGAACCUCAUCCUCCCCCUGGUCAGGGACACUGGCAGACUCGGGGUGCAGAGCCACGGGCUAUUCAAUUUAUUGCUCCAGUUUACUUCAAGGCCUUUCUUAAGACUUAAUUCCCUCGCCCUGCAGUAAAAGUGAUAAUAAUAAAAAGGUCUGUGAUUCACAGUCGAAGCACUGUAUCUUGCAAACAAGUACCUAAGUGCUCUGCUGAACUGGGGCCAGGGGUGGAUUACUGAGAGAGCUGGGCAGUCUUCCCAUCUCCAGCCAGUUCACCAAGUAGGUGAACUCAGGCUAAUCAUGGAGUUUUCUGGGGCUUAGUUUCCUGCCCAUGUUUAUCAUAGGGUAUGUAUUCUGACUGGUAAAGAUAAGGAAAUAAUGAGGGAACAUGAAAAAAUUUCAGAACAUGGAAGAGUGCUGUAGAGAAAACAGGCUUCUGCAUAUUGGAUAUACAUUGCAAGUUACAUUCUCCCUGACUUUUCUUUAGUUUCUGGGCUCUAUUCCGUAUUCAUGAAAAAACAUAAGGCAGCUCUUUAACAGAGAGCCCACUUCCACUUUAAAUGGCAAGAGAGUCAUCUGAAUCCCACCAGAACCAGUGGAAGAAGAUCCAGCACUGCAUGCAACCAGCAUUCCAGAGCAGCUCAAGCUGUGUUGCCUUCAAGCAGCCUCAUCGUCCUGGCAGCACUGGCCUGCUGUCGGAUGUGAAUCCAGCAGACUUUGUUCAGGCUGUUGCCUUCAUGCCAUACAGCAGCCUGAGAAAUUACCUCAGCCCUCUUUGCAAUGCCUUAUUAGAAGGGAAAUGGAGCAACGUCCCUGUCAGUCUGUGCCUGACCUGCACUGAGAGAGUUUCUUCUGAUCAGAUAUGGAGCUUUUAAGGCUGUUCUGCAUUUCUCUGAUUCCUACCUGGCAGAAAAUGGCUAGAGAAAGGGCUGAAGUGUCACUGUGGAGAGCUUUUUAUUGAUAUGAGAGAGGCCUGGUUACCACUUAAUAGUUUGCAAGAACAGACUUUCCUUUUAACACUUUUUCUACUUGGAAAUUUAUAUUGCAUUUUGCAAAGUUAGAGCAAAAUAGCUUAGUGUAUUGAAUUGCAAGAGAGCUAUCCUGAGUACAAGUGUUUACUGUAUCUUUUGGUACAGAGGAAAUUAGCAUAAAAAAAUCUUUAUGAAGAAUGGAUUGUGCCAGAAUAUUAGUUUUGUAGCAUAACAAACAGACAGGAAAAUAUAAGUAUGCUAAUCCAUCCUGUGCAAGAUAUGAGCUGAGGUAAGGUACUCUCCAUUAACAGCUGCUACCUGAUGUUGUAAACACAAUUAUGGAGAUUUUACUACCACGUUACAGCAACAAGUAUGAAACCAGAAAACACCAAAACACACUUUUUGUGGAAUUUGACCUACAGUUCUGAAGGAGGUUAAGCUCUUUUUUCUUUAUAAUAAGGGGCCAUAUUUUGUUUAUCCAUAGAUAAAGCAGCACUGUAGCACAGUUCUGUUUCUGUGACCUCCUCGAAACCUUUUUGCAGGCAUUUCCUGAUUCCCGAGUUCUGCGGAUUUAGAACCGAAAAAGACAGAAGAGCAGUGAGUGUCAGCAAUAUUUCCUUUUUCUGUUAUACACUCACCAGUCAGUCCAGAAGGAAUUAGCACAGACCAAAAUGACUAUAUUUGCUCAGGUUCCCUUUCUGCAAGCACAGAAUUCCCAAAUUCUAAUCUCACCCCCAAUUUUGACUCACCUUCUGUGCACAGAAGGUGUGAGGUGGCUGGGGCCAACAUGCAGACAAAGGAUACCCAUGGGGAACAAGCUGUUUCCAACUCCCCCUGCAUGACUGUGGAUUUGAAGGCUAAUUUUUUUACCUCUUUUGCGGUAAGUGAAGGGGAAAAUCCAGUCAACCAAUACAAGAAAUGGAAAUACAGUCAGUGGGGAGGGGCUGUGGAAAGGGUAUUUGUUGAAAGGGGACAUAUCCCUUGUGAGUAGCUUUCAAGGCCCACCCUCUCAUCUUUACUGGGAAUGCACAGGAGAGCAAGUGAUAGUAGCCCAUCACCAUGGCUGGUGAUUUCCAGCCAUGGAAAAGGUCCCCUGAGCUGUUUGCCAGUUGAUAUGGCAGCCCAUCUUUACCUGACCCAAGGCUGCAGGUGAGGAGUUGGUUAAGUAAAAACUGGUCCUUGCCAUCUCCUCCAGGGUCUGAUGUGUGGGAAGAUCUUAAUCCUGACAGACAGCAAAUCCAGGGUUUGCCAGUCCUUAGCUGAAAACAAACUGUUUAGAGAAGACUUAAUACAAGGGCAAAUACUAUGACAGAAAGAGCAAAUCCAAAAGAUAAGUAUGAUAUUUAAGACAUCACUGAGUUGCAGGAAAAACCCACAACACUACAAAUGCAGGCAGGGCCCACUAAAUGCAUUGUUCAGCUAGGAUGGAGGUUGGUCCUGGAGCUAAUGGAAAAGGAUAUGAUUCAUCUCUUACAGAAGCAACACUAACAUUUUUCAUCAAAUGAUAAAAAACUUUAAUACAUGAAUUACAUUGAAGUGGACACUCCAUCAAGAGCAUAAAGUCUGUUGCUUAGAGAGAGAGAAUACAUAGUGUGUAAUUACAAUAUCACUGAAGACUAUAGCUUAUGUGUUUAGGUAUGUCAGCUGUCCAGCUGCACUUAAGUAUCUUUCAGCAUAUCCAUUACAUUUGCAUACGAUAUAUGUAAAUUAAUAUGUCCUUAACUCAUACCUAUUUCCGUGUGCAUAGAUGCAGUAUGCAUGUAUAUACAUGUAGACAUACAUAGGUAUGAUAUAAGCACAUAUUCAUUCAGAGCAUUUUAAUAGAGUUAAAAAACACUGUGCCAAAAAUGUACACCAUCUGUUUUCAAUCAAAAUAGCCUAUUUCAGAGGAAGGGAGUGUUGUCUUGUGAUCAGAGCGGGGGAACUAAAGAGUCAGGACUCACGGAUUCCAUUCCUGAAUCUGCCAGGACUUGGCUGCACAAUUUUGACAAGAUCUGUGACUCCUGUGUACCCUGGUUUCCCCAUUUGCAAAAUGGAGCAGUAUCUACUCCUAGAAUGUUGCAGUGGAAAACAUAAUUAGUGUAUGCUCGGAAAAAUACAGAAGUUCUUGUUAUACCAUCACGGUAUGUUUGAAGAGUGGAAUUUAAUUGAAAAAUACAGCACAGGAUUUGUUUUAGAUGACAUACAUGGCAGCUGUGUGUAUAAUUACAGCUAUUUGUACACACUUAGGUUGCCUAAUUUUUGGAUGAUAGUACCUGUAAUAAAAUUAAUGGGGGAAAAAUGGUGCUCAACACUUUAUGAACCCAGCCAGUCCUGUAAAAGUUUUCACACUCUAUUGAACAGGGUUUCCACGGCGACAGCUGUACACCAGUGAAUGAAAUAUGUGCUGUACCUAAUUUUCAUCCUGAAAUAGGAAAAUACAAAUGGGUAUUGGGAUGUUCUGGUAGGUUCCAUGCAGAGAAAGCCUAGCUCCACUGAAGACAAUUACGAUACUCCUAUUAACAUAAUUAGGACAAGAUUUCACCCCAUCCGCUUCUUUAGCUUCAGUGCAUCCCUCUCAGGAAUACGGCAGGGAUUGCUCAGCCCAUCCCACAGUGCUUCCUCUUGGGCAUGCUGGUGCUGUGGCACAGGACAUUGUCCUUGCUGUGCUUGGUGGGUGGUGCAGGGUUGGCCCCACCUGGCUUUGGUGGGAGUGUGCCAGGUGUCACAGUGGGCAGACUGUGAGGGUGCUCCAUGCUCCUGUUCUCCCACCAUCCUCACCGGUCAACUCCCACACUCCUUUUCUUCCCCUGUAGUGCGUACAUCCAUGGGGUGUUAAGGCUGUGCCUUGCCUCUGGAGAGAGAGAUCAGAGGUACUUUCCAUUGGGAUGAGAAACCCCAUAGAGCAAGUUGCACAGAUGCAGCAGCUGUUUAGCUGUUGGAGAGGAAAAGAGCAGUGUUUGUAUGUCAGGGUUUGCCUGGCUGCCAGUACCAAAGUGGCAGUGAGAGAAAUCAUGUGUGCUGAACACUGCUUAUGUAUGCUGCAAACUGAGGCAUUCAAGUAUAUGAUAAAUAUCUGAUGUAAAUGUGAAUGUAUUUCAACAUCUGUGUCUUUGUCACGAAGAAAAAUGGGCUGAGCUUGUUUAGUUUGGAUGUUUUUGACAGCUGCUGUUCCCCAGGUUGCACCUCAUAUCUCGAUACUGUGCUGUUGCUUAAGUGCAGCUUCAAAAAUACAUUUAGGAUCUUACCAUGCACACACCUAAAAUGAGCCAGUUGCUCAUCCAAGUGAGCUGGUACAGUGACAUACAUGAUAAAGCAAGAAAAAGAUAAGGCAAUAUGAAUCUCACAGCUGUUAAGUGGAUUUACAGGUUUGUCACUCAAAGAAAUACUUUUACCCAAAUGAAUGAGGACAAUGUGCAACAUAAGGUUACACUGGAAACAUAAAACAGUUGAUUCAAACACCAGUUUGGGAGAAUUGUAUCUCCAUGUCUGAGAUCUUAAAAGCUAUCAUUGUUCUGUCUUUGUAUCCAUCACCAUAUCUGAUCUUUGGAUCCUACCUGCUACAUUUUAAAGAAAGGGUGUAUUCAUUUAGUGCCCAGGAAAUGCUUUGUAAAUCCAGCUUUCAAGCCUCUUUCAAGCCUCUUUCAAGCCUAUGGAGAUUUUCCAUCAUAUACAUGAGAGUUUCCAUCAUAGAUAUGUGCCACCUUCAUUUUCAGCUGCCUUUAGUCAGAGCGUUGAAGAUAACAAACUUGCUAACCAGGAUAAACUCUUCAGUUCUUGAACUUUUGUAAAAUGAGAUUCCUCCCUGAAGGAGUACAGUUACCAGCCAAAUGAGACAGCAGCUUCUAGUUUCAGACUACCAGUGACACAAAGAAGCAACCAGGGAGAAUGGAGCAGAGAAGGAGGGUAUGGCCUGGUGGGAGAGGACCAAGGAUCUAAAUUCUGCUUUUUGUUUAUGAUAGUCUGUACCUGGAGGGGAGAGGGGGAGAUAAAUUUCUCAUGAACAAUAAAUAAGAGCAGUUCAUUCAAUCAAUUCAUGCAGUAGGCUCAUACAAAUGCUCCAGAGGCUCUUCUUAUGCACAGACUUAUAUUUCGGGAAGAGAGAGGUUUUGCUCUUAUGGCCCAUUUGUUUUUCUGUCUCUCCACUGUGACUUCUAGCAGGGAGGCAUGAAAUAAGGGGGUCUUGCCAAAUGAGUAUCAGCCAGUUCUGGGGCCAGGGCCAAGAGGCAGUGAUAGGGAGCUGGUGAAGAGUGCUGGCUCUUGGCAUGCCCCACGUGCAGGGCAGUGGAUUCCUGGGUCUGACCUUGAGCCAUCAGGAAGAGAGUGAGGAGGCUGAGCCAGGCAGCCCAGCUCCCUGCAGAGGCCACAGCCCUGGUGCAGAGCAGGGCUUGCUGUAGGUUAACAGUCACUUCCACCGAACCAGGGCAAACAGAGUCUGGCACAGCCUGCCUUGGAAGGCCUGCUGGGUUGCCUUGUUUUUGAGGACACUUGUCUGACCCAAAUAACAAGGGUUUCACACAUUGCCAAAUGCACUGGACAUGUUAACGAAUGCAUGAAAGUGUUUGGUUUACCACCAGACUGAAAAAAUACUUAGAAUCUGAAAGGCAAUAAACUGCAGAUUUUUUCCCCGUCAUCCCAAAGAGUAUGACUUCUAAAUUAUGUAUCACUUCCUAAACACAAAAAUUGUUCCGCAGUCUGUUGGCAAUGGUGUUCUCAGGAAUUAAUAACUGAAAAAACCUUUAUUUUGUUUUGUAAUACCUUUUCACUAUACUCAGGGAUUAUUCCUGACAGUGCCAAAAAGAGCCUCAUGACUUCAGUUCAUGCAGACUCCUCCUCAGAGGAGAAAAAGUGGCAAGAAUAACUUACUUAAAUUCUUUAUUCACAUAAGAUAGAUGCAGUUUGUCAAUGACUUUUUGACUGUGGAAUUCUGCAGAUGUUCCAAGCUGUAAGGCAGCAUCACCGGCACAUGAGUUGAGAAGGAUCAUAGAAGGGGAGAUGCUCUUUAAUGUUUUGCAUAUAAAUACUCCACAGUGCCACUGCCAUUCUUAGGCGGAUGCUACACAGUGCAAUGGUCUGACAUAGCUAACAGCUGUUGUGUCAUUGUUUGGAACAUGAGGUCAUCACAAUACACCACAAUAUUUUCUUCUCAGGGAUUGAAUUGAGCUAGUAUACACUGCUCUCGUUUUUCAGUUUUUGCUGCGAUCUGUGUCAAGCUCUUUCUCGCACAUGAAGUGCAAAAGCUUGGGGCUUGAGGUGAGCAAUGCCUGGUGCUGUAGCAAAAAGUAGCAUAUGUGAUUUGAGUCUUAUGUUGGAAUCAAUAUCCAGCUCCUGCUUUUGUUUUCUACCCAUUCCUCAGUGUCUGGACUGUGGCAAGAAACAUCUCAGGUGAGACAGAGGAGGAUGGGGGCUUCUCUAUGUCAGACAUGAAACUUCAGCUGUUAUUACAAAGAAAAUGGAACAAUCUGCAAUGAGAGCACCGGCGCACUCCAAACCACAGCCCUCCUAGACUUCUUCUUCUUCCAAGUCUGAUGGGGAUCCAGAUGCAAAGGAACUUUUCCAAAAAAACAGACCUUGGCUCUCAAUGCUUCAUGCUGCAGAGAAUUAUGCACUUUCUGAAAUUUUUUCUUUGAGAACAUUUGUUUUCCCGAUGGUGUUACUUCAUGGACUGUAUUUACUUUUUCCAUUUUGUUCAUAGUUACCAGUGUGUCUAUUUUCAUAGUCAUGCUCUAGAAACAGAAGUUAUUUUCCCUCUCUCCACUAAUCCUUGUAACCCUCACCAAAGGUAGGGGCAGAAGCCAAAGCUUAACACCUAAUUUGGAUAAUGAUUCCUGCCCACCAUGUCCCUCCUCCCACAUCACUUGCCCCGUUAUUACAUUACUUAUACAGAGUGAAGUGCUAACGGGUGCUUUCUAACUGCUUUGAAAAACACCGUCAUGAGAGAAGCCAAGUAAGAAAACAGAAUGUUUGGCGCCAGUAAUGGAACACAAAACCUUUUACCUUCGCCCAUGGGUUUGAAUCUAACCCAGCUCAGUAACAGCCCAAGUUGUUAACAUGUCAGGGUCAUGUGGUAGUCUGAAAUUGUUCAAGUUCUUAGUCCAUGUCAUCAAGUUUGGGACACAGAACCCUGGACUCCAUGCAUGGUCUUGAACAUAAUCCAGCUCUGUUCUUACUGUCAGGGUAAUGUGGUUGGCUGGCUAGGAACAAUCCAUGCUUUUAGCCCGUUUUCCAGCAGAAAAGCUUCCCCAUCAAAGCAACACUCAGGACAAGUAGCUGCCCCAUCACAUGGGCCAGCCAGGUGGCAGGGAAUGGUGAAGAGUUGGUGUACUUUCAUAAGACAGUUCCAUCUUUUAGAGGCAUGGGAAUUAUGCCGUGUGCAGCACCAGGAAGCAUAGCAGCAGCCCUGGGGUUAGUAAGGAAACUGGGACAAAUGACCAGCCCUUCCAGGAGAUCGUGGCAUUUGAAAAUUAUGUCCCUUAAUGCUUUUUCUGAAGAUAACAGGAGGAAUUUUUUUAAGACCCUUGUCUUCUCUAAAGAAGCUGACUUUCAGAGUCUGUGUUAGAGUUGUUACCCAACAGGCUGCUGCCUCCAUCUGUGACUAAUGCUACUGUGGAGAACAAGUGUACCCUUUAGACAAGGUUGCUCUGCAGUGUCUUUGCAUCUGGCUUGCUGGGAACUCCUGCAGAAAUGUAGAGAUUCAGACGUGUGUCUAAACACAGAGGAGUCACAGGGCAGAGCAGAGAGGCAAGCCCAGCCCUGCACAAUGCUUUGGGAUCAUCAGAGCAUUCGGGGAGCCCGCUGGCCCAAAUAACACCAGUGCUGAGGAUGCGCUCACAAAAGGGGCUUCAAACCAAUGUGAAACACAUCUCAAGCUUGGCUUUCAGAGUCUUAGAUUCACUUCAUAUUGUGCUUCUAGCAAGAACUAUCUCUCAAUAAUAGAUCUAAAAGUGUUCCAGUUGUAUGUCUGCUUUACACAGCUUUUCUUUGUCAUACCUGUCUUUGUUGCCAACAUAGCACAGGCCUUCACCAAAGAGUUUUGUUGAAGAAAAAAGUUCAUACCAGCCCUUUUGCCCCAUUUGCAGCUACUUUACCAUUGUAUAGAGCCAGAGCCAAAGCAGUGCAAGGGAUGGAAAGGUUAAUAUGACCUGCGUUUUAGCAGCCUUGGAUGAUGUCUUUCUCUUUCAAGGAAGCAGCUGCAUAAAGAUGUUCCUGAACAUCCUGCCUCCUGCAUUAAGAGGUUUUGUCCCUUACAGACCAAUUUUCAGUGUCCUGUGGAUUCUGUGGCAUUCCCAUGAAGUGUCUCUUUUCAUGAUGGGAGAGCCCUAAUAAAGUCUUUAUUUUGACCAGCUCUGCCACGGCUUACUCUCUAUGAAUGCUCUAUCCAGUUUGGUUGAAAUUGUCUGCUGGAUUAAAAAUGGACAUCCAAGCAAGGCACCUACUCUGAUUUCCCUUGUUCCCAACCCUGGAUGGGACUGUAAUAUUUUUCUUCAAAAGGACAGGACUUGGUUUCAGCUUUGUGCCCCAUAUAAUGUAUGUAGAGCAGCUCGGGAGCAACUCCAAUUAAACUAAAUGUUUCCUCUGCAUAAUGAUCCAUUCGCAACAGUAAUUUAUCAGUAUUAACAUUUAGAAUUUAUUUCCAGAACCGAUGUUUUAAAUAUGAUUAAUCUUCAAUAUGAUUAAAAUAAUUGCUUGUAACAUUUUAACUGACUUUGCCAGGUGACAAGAAAUCUGUGAAUGUCCAAUUCCCUUCAGAGUUUCAAAAUGCACUCACUUACUGUUUCUACAAGUGCAAAACAAUCUUAAAUAAUAAAUGGAAAAUGUCAGCACUAACAUCUAUCAGUGCAGAAAUCUUCUUUAACAAUGUCAUUAGUUAUGCCUUUAAACUUUUCCAGGAGAUCUGGAAGCAGGGCUAUUUGUCACAUAUGGAGUCCACAUUUGCAAGAUCUCAAUAUAAGAAUGCUAGAAAGAAGGUUCUCUGCUCUUUCUGAGGUUAUGGCUCUGAGUGUUCAAUCUUCCUUUAUUCUGCAAACUCUUUGGACUUUUAUAUGUUCCUUUCCAUCUCUCCUUGUGCACUGCAUCCCUGGGCAAGUCGUUAUUCAAGUCUCCCAAAGCAGGAUGUUCACAUGGGACUGAUUUGGAAACCAUAUUUAGAACAUAUUAUCCUAAUUCUUUAUCAGCUUUCAUGGGCAAGAGCUUGAGACAUUUUUCUGUCCUAGUUCUUUGAAAGCACAAAUCUUGCUAGUCCUGAAUUCUUACUAUCAUUGGUGCAAUUGUAGCCUUCAACUCUUAUGCUAUCAGUGAAGUGAGAUUUUCCUUCCACCCUCUUGAGCUUCACAGAAGAUAAAAUCCCAUUCCUUUUUUAUGUUAAGCCCUUGUACUGUCGUAUUCUGCAGGACUGGGGGGCAGAGGGUCUAGGAUUGUGGAUCCUCCAUGGUCACCUCUGACUUCACUGAGUCAACAUAAUCCACAGUGCCUGCUGCUCUGUCUUGGGCAGAACUUUGAUCAGCACAUUUGCAGAGAUAGCUGAAUUUUGGUUUGACAUCUUCCUGAUCUCUGCUGGACUUUCAAAACAGGGUAUGAGUCAUAAACUCUUCCUUCUAAGGUAAGCCUCACUGGUUUGGGAGCUAUAAAAGAAUCCUGUUAUUUUUAAAGGACAGAAUUUUUCUUUCAUUCUCUCCUCCCCUCCAGACACUCUCUGUGUUUAUUUUUCAUUCUGUCCAAACCUUCUUUGUUUAUAUCCCACAUUUUGGAAAUUUCUCUCUUCUCCUUCAUCUAACUGCUCUUUUAUUCCACACCAUUUCUCUGGACAAGGCGAGCAAGAUCUGGAAAGAAUCAGACGUUUACACUGAUAAUGUUCCAGCUGAAUUAGCAAAUGUUUGGAAAAGACCUCAUGCUUUGGGCACCAAGUUCUCUCUGAUUGGGGUAAAACACUUUAAUGACUGGGGUUAUUGCUGGAUAGAAGCUUUCUUCCUUUAUGGUAUCUGGUGCUAGUUAUUAUCAAAGACACAUUGUUGGACUAUGUGGACUGACACUGGGCUAGUCCAGUCUGGCAGUUCUCAUUUCUCUGUGAAUGUGAAUCCAGACAAAUUUCAGUCUAGGAUGGGUGUUCUUUUUGAUGCA